ACCAAGUUGAUGAACUGUCCACUAGCUUUAGAAUACUUCUACAAAGUAUUCCUAAUGAUUGCUGCAUUCCUUUUAGAGGCAUUAGCAAACAUAAUUGAAUCAUCUGCAAAAAGUAAGUGUGUUAUCUUGGGGCUAUAUCUGGAAAUAGAAAGACCCUGUAAAGGGGACUGCUUGAUGGCAUAUGAGAGCCCCUCCGCACAAAGCAAGAAUAGGUAUGGUGAUAGAGGAUCGCCCUGUCUAAUGCCUCUAGAAGGAGUGAAGAAUUCUGAUUUGAGGCCAUUUAUCCUUAGGGAGAAGGAUACUGUGGU
rnacentral:misc_RNA from 1 species